CAAAUUGCCCAAUCUCGACUCGGGGAGGUAGUGACGAAAAAUAACAAUUCAAGUCUCUAAACGAGGCCUUGAAGUUGGAACGAGUACACUUUAAAAUUUUUAACGAGUAUCUAUUGGAGGGCAAGUCUGGUGCCAGCAGCCGCGGUAAUUCCAGCUCCAAUAGCGUAUACUAAAGUUGUUGCGGUUAAAAAGCUCGUAGUUGGAUCUUGGAGCAUGUCGAACGGUCGUGCCUCUGGUAUGAACUGCUCGACGUGUUCUUCUAUUUGGUUGCGCGUGUGUGUUCUCUUAAUUGAGUGCCGCACUCGACCGAAACGUUUACCUUGAAAAAAUUAGAGUGUUCAAAGCAGACCUGUUUGUGUCUGAAUAUUCGUGCAUGGAAUAAUGAAAUAUGAACUCGGUUCUAUUUUGUUGGUUUUCGGAACUCGAGUUAAUGAUUAAGAGGGACGGACGGGGGCAUUAGUACUCUGCCGUUAGAGGUGAAAUUCUUGGAUCGGCGGAAGACUAACAACUGCGAAAGCAUUUGCCAAGAAUGUUUUCUUUAAUCAAGAACGAUAGUCGGAGGUUCGAAGACGAUCAGAUACCGUCCUAGUUUCGACUGUAAACUAUGCCAGCUAACGAUCAGACAGCGUUCUCUACGACUUGUCUGGCCGUUUCCGGGAAACCAAAGCUUUUGGGUUCCGGGGGAAGUACGGUUGCAAAGCUGAAACUUAAAGGAAUUGACGGAAGGGCACCACCAGGAGUGGAGCCUG
rnacentral:rRNA from 1 species